ensembl:lncRNA
CUCAGGGCUUCACUGCAGAUGUUCACGAUGCAAAAAGCCUUUCUCAAGCAGAACAUGAUGUGAAAAAGCCAAAAGCUCUCCAUAUCCCAGGGCAGGCUGGGAGGAAUAACCAGGCAGCAAGUUACAUGGGUGGAGCAGGAAACUAUCUGGGAGCAAGCCUGGGUGCUGGAGGCUAUGGACCAGGUUUGGGUCAGGGAGCAUAUCUGGGUGGUGCAGCAGGCAAACUAGGAGGCUAUGGGGAGGGAACAACAGGAUACCUUGGCGCUGUGGCAGGCAACGGCUUUGGUGGAGAUGGUGCUAAAGCUUUGUCUACAGGUUAUGGCAACGGUUACCCUGACGGUUAUGGAGCUGGGCUUGGUUACCCUGCAGAGUUAGCUGAUGGUGCUGAGAACAAAGCAGGGAAGAGUGAAGCUCUCAGUACAGGAGGCUACGCUGGGCCGGUCCAGGGGGCGUAUGGAGCGCUCGGUGCAGGCCUGGAUGCAACUGGUGGCAAAUAUGGAGGAGGAGCUGCUCAGGUUCCUUAUGGUAAUGCUCCAGUGAUUCCUGCCGGACUGGAAGGUGAUGGUGGCUACCCCUACGGCGCUCAGCAGCUCAGCCUCGGUGCUGAAGGCGCCAAAACCGCCAACAAAUAUGGUGCUGGUGCAGGUUAUGGAGCUCAGCAAACAGGUUAUGGUGCUCAGCUAGGAGCCACUCAGGAUGCCUUGGGAGAGCAAACCGGCAAAUAUGGCGGAGUGAACGGUGCCCUUGGUAACGGCUACAAAGGCUAAUUCAAAUGACCUGGACCUCUCCACGUGGAUCAUUUCCAUAAUGUGUUCAGUGUAAUGAGCUUCUAAAGCUUUUAUUUUACGUUUUACUCAACUUUGUCCUGUUGCGUUGUCCAUUUGUCCUUUUGUUUUUCUUCACCCCCUCGUCUUUCUCUGUAAGUGGACAUCUGUUAGUCAUGUCUGUUUGUCUUCCUUGUCCAAGAACCUGCUGUACCCCACCAGUUCAGCUCUGUCAGUGCUGAAGACAUUGGUGGUGAUUGAUGAACAUAAAUAGAUGGAAAGUGCA